AGGGACUUAGUUUAACGGUAGAACAACGGUCUCCAAAACCGUUAGUGUGGGUUCGAUUCCUACAGUCCCUG
rfam:Eremococcus coleocola ACS-139-V-Col8 contig00018, whole genome shotgun sequence.